UACGGGGGGGGCAAGCGUUGUUCGGAAUUACUGGGCGUAAAGGGCUCGUAGGCGGCCAACUAAGUCAGACGUGAAAUCCCUCGGCUUAACCGGGGAACUGCGUCUGAUACUGGAUGGCUUGAGAUUGGGAGAGGGAUGCGGAAUUCCAGGUGUAGCGGUGAAAUGCGUAGAUAUCGUCAAGAACACCGAUAGUGAAGACAGCUUACUAGGCUUCUACUGACGCUGAGGCACGAAAGUGUGGGGAUCAAACAGG
rnacentral:rRNA from 1 species